rnacentral:rRNA from 1 species
GUCCUAGCUGUAAACGGUGCAUGUUUGCUGUAAAAGGAAUCGACCCCUUUUGUGGCGUAGCCAACGCGUUAAACAUGCCGCCUGGGAAGUACGGUCGCAAGAUUAAAACUCAAAGAAAUUGACGGGGGCCUGCACAAGCGGUGGAGUAUGUGGCUCAAUUCGAUGCAACGCGAAGAACCUUACCUGGCCUUGACAUGUAUCUAGUAGAAGGGUGAAAGCCUGACGAGGUAGCAAUACCAGGAUACACAGGUGCUGCAUGGCUGUCGU